GCAAGCCCAGCACCGGUUUUGCCGCCUUGUCUCGAAGGGUCAACCAGGCCAUCUCCUGCCUCGGGACGGAGAGCGCCCUGGAAAAGGCGGAGGGGCCGUCGAUGUUAUCGAAAUGAAGCACUUUUCUCUGAAUUGGUGUGGGUUUUGGAAUGAUUUUUGCAGAGAUAGUCACGACCUUAGUCACACAAGAGCGAUGGCAAGAUUUUCACCCAAGCCAUCUGACUUGGAACCCAUGGAUUAACCAACUGCCACUGGAGGCAAAUCCAGAGACCAAGGGAGCAGUUUAUACAGAAACAGAUGCCGGCAUUAACCCACAGGGAGUUAUUGUUACAGACUGAAGAAUAGAAAAAGAAAAAGCCAAAUAGAGCCUUAUUCCACCCAGCUUAGCUUCCAUAGAACAUUGUGAAUGAGAGAGUAGAUUCUUGAGAAAAUCCUGGGGUUACCCAGUUUUCAUGACUCGUUUCGUUAGACCAUCAUUUCCCAAAGUGUGUUCUUUAUAAAAAGUAGUUCUUCAGAAGGCUGGAAAGUAUUGUUUGGAAGGGGGUUCCGUGAUGAAGUCAGUUUGGAAUGCAGGCUUUACCCAGUUUUGAGAAGAUUCUUUGCAGGACUUCUCAGGGCCUUUGUGAAUCUCCAAAGAAAGAAUGUAGUGUGAAGUAUGAAAACUUUCUCCUGGCUGAUGGAA
rnacentral:lncRNA from 10 species